CAAUUGCACAACAAUCAGUAUCCAUCGUGAUAUUUUAAACAGUCCAUAAAGCACUCAGGACGGCCCCCACGGAAAGAGGGCCGUAGUAGGGUGCUUCCAUAGCGGGCAUUGAUAUCAGAAUGACCGGUAAAUGCAUUUUGGAGCAUAUUUAAAUUUUUGGGUUCCCAGGUGCACGUUUUCAAUCACCAGGUGCACGGAUGUAUAGGGUCCCCCAUGGAUAAAAGGUCCGUAUUAGGGUGCUCCCAUAGCGGGCAUGACUUUUUGGAACACCGCUCAUGUAAUUUUAGGUUCCCAGUUGCACGUUUUCAAUCACCAGUUGCACAACAAUCAGUAUCCAUCGUGAUAUUUUAAACAGUCCAUAAAGCACUAAAUGAGGGCCCCCACAGAAAGAGGGCCGUAGUAGGGUGCUUCCAUAGCGGGCAUUAAAAUGAGAAUGACCCUUAAAUGCAUUUUGGAGCCUAUUUUAAUUUUUUGGGUUCCCAGGUGCACAUUUCAGAUCACCAGUUGCACAACAAUGAGUAUCCAUCAGAACAUGUUAAAGUGUCCAUAAAUCCCUCAGGACGGCCCCUAUGGAAAGAGGGCCGUAGUAGGGUACUCCUAUAACAGGGCA
ensembl:lncRNA